AGUUUGAUCCUGGCUCAGGAUGAACGCUAGCUACAGGCUUAACACAUGCAAGUCGAGGGGCAGCAUUUCAGUUUGCUUGCAAACUGGAGAUGGCGACCGGCGCACGGGUGAGUAACACGUAUCCAACCUGCCGAUAACUCGGGGAUAGCCUUUCGAAAGAAAGAUUAAUACCCGAUGGUAUAAUCAGACCGCAUGGUCUUGUUAUUAAAGAAUUUCGGUUAUCGAUGGGGAUGCGUUCCAUUAGGCAGUUGGUGAGGUAACGGCUCACCAAACCUUCGAUGGAUAGGGGUUCUGAGAGGAAGGUCCCCCACAUUGGAACUGAGACACGGUCCAAACUCCUACGGGAGGCAGCAGUGAGGAAUAUUGGUCAAUGGGCGCAGGCCUGAACCAGCCAAGUAGCGUGAAGGAUGACUGCCCUAUGGGUUGUAAACUUCUUUUAUAUGGGAAUAAAGUUUUCCACGUGUGGAAUUUUGUAUGUACCAUAUGAAUAAGGAUCGGCUAACUCCGUGCCAGCAGCCGCGGUAAUACGGAGGAUCCGAGCGUUAUCCGGAUUUAUUGGGUUUAAAGGGAGCGUAGGUGGACAGUUAAGUCAGUUGUGAAAGUUUGCGGCUCAACCGUAAAAUUGCAGUUGAUACUGGCUGUCUUGAGUACAGUAGAGGUGGGCGGAAUUCGUGGUGUAGCGGUGAAAUGCUUAGAUAUCACGAAGAACUCCGAUUGCGAAGGCAGCUCACUGGACUGCAACUGACACUGAUGCUCGAAAGUGUGGGUAUCAAACAGGAUUAGAUACCCUGGUAGUCCACACAGUAAACGAUGAAUACUCGCUGUUUGCGAUAUACAGUAAGCGGCCAAGCGAAAGCAUUAAGUAUUCCACCUGGGGAGUACGCCGGCAACGGUGAAACUCAAAGGAAUUGACGGGGGCCCGCACAGGCGGAGGAACAUGUGGUUUAAUUCGAUGAUACGCGAGGAACCUUACCCGGGCUUAAAUUGCAUUUGAAUAUAUUGGAAACAGUAUAGCCGUAAGGCAAAUGUGAAGGUGCUGCAUGGUUGUCGUCAGCUCGUGCCGUGAGGUGUCGGCUUAAGUGCCAUAACGAGCGCAACCCUUAUCUUUAGUUACUAACAGGUCAUGCUGAGGACUCUAGAGAGACUGCCGUCGUAAG
rnacentral:rRNA from 1 species